AACGAACGCUGGCGGCGUGCCUAACACAUGCAAGUCGAACGAGAAAGGGGCUUCGGCUCCGAGUAAAGUGGCGCACGGGUGAGUAACACGUGGGUAACCUGCCUCCAAUAUUGGGAUAACUCGUCGAAAGAUGAGCUAAUACCGAAUAAGACCACAGUUCCCGCGGGAACAGGGGUCAAAGGUAGCCCCUGCUUGCAAGCUAUCACUUAGAGAUGGGCCUGCGCACCAUUAGCUAGUUGGUACGGUAACGGCUUGCCAAGGCAAAGAUGGUUAGCUGGUCUGAGAGGAUGGUCAGCCGCACUGGAACUGAGACACGGUCCAGACUCCUACGGGAGGCAGCAGUGGGGAAUAUUGCGCAAGGGGCGAAAGAUUGACGCAGCAACGCCGCGGGAGUGAUGAGGGCCUUCGGGUCGUAGAGCUCUGUCGGGAGGAACGAAUGCUCCUGAGGUUAACAGCCUCGGGAGGUGACGGUACCUUCAAAGGAAGCACCGGCUAACUCUGUG
rnacentral:rRNA from 1 species